rnacentral:misc_RNA from 1 species
CCCAACAGGCAUAUAUCGUUUUAUACCUACACACAUACUAUUAGCAGCCAAGCCACUAAGCCAAACUAUAGCUGCAGUUGCAGUGCGUCGACUGCGCUAAUACGCGAGGCCACAUACACACACGCUUAACGCCGAUUGCCGCCGCUAUUAUUCUUUGCCUGCCGCGUGCCUCCAUUUGUUGACACCAACUGUUUGUUCGUGAUUGUUUUGUUUCUCGUUCCCUUGUGCUGCUGCUGUUUAUUUUUGUUAUUGUUAUUUUGGUUGUUGUUGUUGUUGUUUUGGUUGAUGUUGUUUUUGAUGUUGAUGUUAUAGUUGCGACUCUCCUUGCAGUGGAGAGAAUCGCAGCGCGUCGAACGUGCGCGACUCGAGGAUCGCUUCGUACUGCCGAUUUCGAGCUGUAGUGAGGACUGAGCAGUAGUAGUACAGUGCCGCAACUGAUAUACCUACAUGUAUAGCAGCUCGUUCAGUGCCGAGUAAAAGUGUCGGAAUACAUGGAAAAGAUUUGGUAAUCGUUGCGACACCGACAACAGCGACAUCAACGAGCAUCCUAAUAAUGCUCCAGUGACAAUUGUGCCUAUAUUCUACGAAUGGAGAACGGACUACUCUUGCUGUGCCGUUCGCUCCAUCGUAAUAUGCAGGCGAUGCCGUUGCAGCAGUUGUCUUGCCGCCGGUAGCGACUCGCCUAAAAGUCCUCUUUUCCACUGGCCAGCACCAACAGCACUAGACAUGUGAAACUCGCCAGUUGCCGUAAUUAGUACAUAUCGUAGUUUGUAGACGACUACUUUUUUUUACUUUUUUUUUUACGUUCUUUUUUACUUGUGCACUGGCUGCCCGGGCUAGUCAUCGAUCUUCGAGCGCAGAGAUCGAAUUCAGACGACGCUUACAUUGAGCCUAGAAGCCGGCAUCGAUCGGCAGCCUCGAGAAUCUUCCUAGCAAGUUGCCAAUAUUCUCUGUGCCAUAAAAACAAGCAAAGACCAUUCCAAAAUAAGACGGAUCCAACUGGCGACUGGAACAAUUCUGUGAUAAGGGGGAACACAUUGUGCCUUGAAAUUUGCCAUAUUUACGAAACACAGUCAAAGAGAAGCGAGACGAAGAGGAGGAGAAAAUAAUUCAAAAAGCCAAGCAGACAAGACAACUUUGAGAAACGAAUUAGUUUGUUUCGUUGCCAUUAUAUGAAAAUCAAAACGAGAGAGAAUGUCAACGUGCACCGAGGCGGACAGUAACGCGGCAGCAGCAGCAGCAGCAGCAACUCUUCACAUGCAGGAGGCCCUCUCACCGGUCCAAGAGGCGCCAGUCUCGCCGGCUUCCUCGUCGAUGAGCAAUCCAACGACGCAGCCCGAGCCAACGAAUGAGCAGCAGCAGCAGCAACAGGUACUCUUAGCUACGAUGCAGCCGGUCGGCGUAUUGGACCUUCACGAGCACCAUAACCCGACAGCUCACAUCUCAUUGCACCCAAAAUAUCAUCACCAUCACCACCAUCACCAUCACGUCCAUCCGAAAUACAGCCAUCAUUUGCACAGCAGCGCCAAUCAUCAUCACUCGACUAACAGCGAUGCUAACGAUCAGGUGCCGACCGACUCGGAAGACGGCCAAGCCCAAGCCGAGCGAGUGACGCCGGUCGUGGUGAGCGAGCACGACGAGGAGACCGGCCACAAGAUGAUCGAUCUCAUCUACAACGACGGCCAGAAGACCAUCAUGUACACCCACGACAAGGAGAUCAUAUACGAGAACGAGGCGGACCGGGUGCAGGUGGUCGAGUACCCGCCGCCCGAGCCGUCGCCUCCGUCGCCGUCGUCGCCGUCGAGGGGCGCCAGCGCCGGCCUCAUCCCCCUGAACUACGUGGCCAAGGCGAGCUCGAGCAACGGACAGCCGACGACCCUGCACCUGCACUACAAUCAGCUGCAACUGGCCUCCGAUCAGGAUCUGCCGAGGGCCCUGGUCAACGGCGCCAGCGUACCGACCACGGCGACGGUUCUCGUGCUCUCCGAGCUGGUGGAUCCGUCGGGCAACGGAGUCGUCGCUACUGCCCCGCUGACCCUGGCCACCGCUGCCUCUCUGCGCGCUGCCGGACGACGCAAUCGUAACGAGGAGGACUCUGGCGUCGUGGUAACAGUGGGCAGCGACGAAGCUUACGUAUCAGCGGCCAACGACUCGUCGGUGACGGCGGCAACCCGAGAGCAGCAGCAGCAGCAGCAGAACCUCGAAGACGGAACGAGCGUCGGAGAGGCCAACGAGCGACUGCAGCAGGAACAAGAGCAGCGGGAUCAGCAGCGGAACGCCGCCUCGAGCGGCCGAGUCGAGAACGACGACGAGGAUUCGGCCCAGGGCCAGAGCAGAGUCGCGACUAUUCAGGUCCAAGUGCAGGGUAUGGAAACUGAGUGGAGAAACGCUUACGGCGAGCAUCCCCUGUCAGCAGCGACCACAGCGAUGUUGCACCUCCAGCCACAGCAUCAAGUCCAAGUCUCAGCGGUAACGGGCCAUCCAGUCGACGACGAGCAGCAGCCACAGCACGUCGUCAAUCCCUUCAACGUCUACGAGUUCUACAAGAUGCCCGACAAGGAGGUCGUCUUGCCCGGCAACGUAAACAUGAAGCUGCCGUCGACCCACGAGCUCUGGGGCAAAUACGUGCCUCAGCACGAGCACGAGAGCAGCGGCAUGAUGAACCCGAACAAAGUCAUGGGCCAGGACGCGGAGCCACAAAGCGGCGAGCUGCAGCACUAUCUGCAGCACUACCAGCAGCAGCCAUCCCACAGUCCGACCGCAGCGACGGCGCUGCAGCAGUCGGGUCUGCCGCUGCCGCUGAGUCCACAGUCGGGCCAACAGGCCCUCGUCGGGGUGAAGCGCGAGCCCGAGGACCUGAGCUCGCGGGGAGGCCUGCAGCAGCCCGCCUCGAAGCGCCACAAGCUCAGCCAGCAGCAGCAGCAGCAACAGCAGCAGCAACCCGACAGUCCACCCCAGGUGAUGUACCACCCGCAGCACCAUCAGCUGCAGAGCCACCUGUCGACGGCGUACGGGGCCUCGCCCUACGACCCCUACGGCAACAACAGUCCGCGGCACUACGCGAGCCACUACAACGGGGCGAGCGUCUCGUCGGUGUCGAGCGUCGGCCUCGUGCAGCACCAGCACCAGGAGCACAUCUACGCGCCGAGCAACGAGCUGCCGCCCAUGGUGUCGACCGUCACCUCGCUGCCCUCGUCCACGGCGGCCUCCUACACCCGAUACGACGUGGUGCCCAGCACCUAUACGACUAGUCAAAACAUGAGGUCGGCAGCCUCUCAGAGCAACACGCCCAACAGCAAUAACAACAACAACAACAACAACAACAACAAUAACAAUAACAACAAUAACAACAACAAGGCGCUGCUGGUCGAUCUGCCGAGCCCCGACUCGGGCAUCGGCACCGACGCCUCCACCCCGAGACAGGACCACCCGCAACCAACCACUAUUCAGCAGACUUUCGAUUACACGGAGCUGUGCUCGAGCAACGGAGGCAACGGCGGCGCCGGAGUCAUCCUGGAGUCGAGCCAGGUCAUGAGCGGCCAGCACCAUCAGCCGUCCUCGCUCCAGCUGCAGAUGCACCAGUCGGUCCAGCCGGGACAGCUGCAGCGGAGCAACAGCACAGGUGGUCUGGUCAUCCCGAGCGGCGCCACCACACCGAACUCGACGAGCGGCGCCUCCGUCGGCAGGAGGCCCUGGCACGAUUUCGGCCGGCAAAACGACGCCGACAAAAUUCAGAUUCCAAAGCUCUACUCGCGCUACGGCUACAAGUAUUAUUUGGAAUCGCCGAUCAGCACGUCUCAAAGACGGGAAGACGAUCGGAUAACCUACAUCAACAAAGGACAAUUUUAUGGAAUAACGCUAGACUACACGCCCGAUCCCGACAAGUCAUCUAAUUUCAAGCCGGGACAGACAGUAAAGAGCGUCAUCAUGCUUAUGUUCCGUGAAGAAAAAUCCGCAGAAGAUGAGAUCAAGGCUUGGCAAUUCUGGCACGGUCGACAGCACUCGGUCAAGCAGCGAAUUCUCGAUGCCGACACUAAAAACAGCGUGGGUUUGACUGGGCACAUCGAAGAGGUAGCGCACAACGCCAUCGCUGUUUAUUGGACUCCAUCGGAAUCUCCGGCCAAGAUCAACGUAGCCGUGCAAUGCCUCAGCACAGACUUCUCGAGUCAAAAGGGAGUCAAGGGACUGCCGCUGCACAUUCAAAUAGACACUUACGAGGAUCUGUCGUCGUCUCACGCGGGCUACAGCCCACCACAGAAUCGGGCCUACUGUCAGAUCAAGGUGUUCUGCGACAAGGGCGCGGAGCGCAAGACCCGCGACGAGGAGAGGCGAGCCGCCAAGCGGAAGCUCGCCGUCAACGGGCGCAAAAAGAACGAGGACAUGUACCACCAGAGCACGGAGCGCUCGGAAUUCUACACCAUGUCCGAGCUGAACAAACCGCCGGUCUUCUUCUCUCCGUCGGCCGAGAACUCCAUUGACAAGUUUUCGCCAAUGGAGUUGUCGGGCUACUAUGGCGGCGGAGGAAGUAGCGCUGGCGCUGCUAAUGGGCCCGAUACCGAUACGUCGUCCCUCAGCAACGGCGAGAGCAGCGGUUUGAAGGCCGCCAGUCCCUACGGCAACGGCCGAGCGAGCCUGCCGGCCCUCAAGUUCCACAAUCACUUUCCGCCCGAUCAAAUUAACUUGCAUGACAAAAAGGACAACAUGAUGAUGCAGGUGCAGGAGCUGCAGGGCUCGAUGCCGACCCCCUCGCCGCCGAGCAACCGUCUGCGCAUGGCCCAGAUGCGAGGAGAGAGCGACCGACUGAUGCUCUACAUCAGGCAGCAGAACGAUCAGAUCUUCACACCGGUUCACGUGACGCCCCCGACUACCCAGGCGCUCAUUAAUGCUGAAUCUUCAGGACAUUAUAUCGGAGUCUGAUAGUAAAUCCUUCAGAUCCCACCUCACAGAAAACUACUUAGAUAGAGUCAAAGUUUAAAUUCCCAAGAGCACAAAUAUGUAACAUUUUAAGGAAAAAUAUCGAAGGCAUCACUGUUCUAAUGGAUGAUGAU